GAAGUUGGUCAGGUAAUCGCGGUAUGAUUUAUCAUAUCGAGGAAAGUCCGGGCUCCAUAGGACGCAGUGCCAGAUAACGUCUGGGAAGCGUGAGCUUACGGCUAGUGCAGCAGAGAGAAGACCGCCUAUUUUUAAAAUAGGUAAGGGUGAAAGGGUGCGGUAAGAGCGCACCGCAUGACUGGCAACAGUUCAUGGCGAUGGUAAACCCCACUUGAAGCAAGACCAAAUAGGAAAACAAUGCGUGGUCCGCGCAGUUUUCGGGUAGGUUGCUUGAGGCAUACAGUGAUGUAUUGUCCAGAUGAAUGGUUACCACAUUAUUUAUUUAAUGACACAGAACCCGGCUUAUCGACCAACUUCUUAA
rnacentral:RNase_P_RNA from 1 species